rnacentral:lncRNA from 1 species
CGAUUGGGCAUGCGAUCGUUCCUUUAGGGGCCUAUUUGAAAAGUUUUAUAUAUGUAAAAUUUGGGUUUGAACCUGAGUCUGUUGAGAUCUCCAAGAAAAAUUAGGAUGGUUAUUCUUGAAUUAUAUACAAUACUGUCAAAUCGGAAUUCGACUCGUGAAUUGCUCAUGCCUUAACUCGAAUCGCGACUUGAAUCGUGAUUCGGAUCAUAAAAUUCAAUAACAAAAAGCACAAUCAAAAUGUAUACCA